GAAUAAGCACCGGCUAACUACGUGCCAGCAGCCGCGGUAAUACGUAGGGUGCGAGCGUUAAUCGGAAUUACUGGGCGUAAAGCGUGCGCAGGCGGUUUCGUAAGCUGGAGGUGAAAUCCCCGGGCUUAACCUGGGAAUGGCCUUCAGGACUGCGAGGCUAGAGUGCGGCAGAGGGAGGUGGAAUUCCACGUGUAGCAGUGAAAUGCGUAGAGAUGUGGAGGAACACCGAUGGCGAAGGCAGCCUCCUGGGCCAGCACUGACGCUCAUGCACGAAAGCGUGGGGAGCAAACAGGAUUAGAUACCCUGGUAGUCCACGCCCUAAACGAUGUCAACUAGGUGUUGGGGAAGGUGACUUCCUUAGUACCGCAGCUAACGCGUGAAGUUGACCGCCUGGGGAGUACGGCCGCAAGGUUAAAACUCAAAUGAAUUGACGG
rnacentral:rRNA from 1 species